rnacentral:rRNA from 1 species
GUUGGCUUAGAAGCAGCCAUACAUUAAAAGAGUGCGUAAUAGCUCACUGGUCGAGUGACCCUGCGCCGAAAAUUCAACGGGGCUAAAAUUUAUACCGAAGCUUGGGAUUUGUACAGGAAUGUACAAGUGGUAGAGGAGCGUCGUAUUAAGGGAGAAGUCAUAGCGGAAGCGAUGGUGGACGAAAUACGAGUGAGAAUGCCGGAAUGAGUAGCGAGAAUUAUGUGAGAAUCAUAAUGGCCGAAAGUCUAAGGUUUUAGGAGGAAGGUUCGUCCGCUCCUAGUAAGCCGGGAGCUAAGGUGAGGCGGAAACGCGUAGCCGAUGCACAUACGGUAGAAAAUCCGUAGCCUCCAAAAUAUUUAAACACAGGGACACUUUGAAGAUGUUUAGCCGGGCGAUGGUUGCCCCGGUCGAAAGGGACUGAAAAUGUUCGGGAAGUAAACAUGGACGAAGGCGAGAAAAGCUGUGUGAAUAUAUGAGGAGCCCGUACCGCAAACCGACACAGGUAGAUAGGAAGAGAAUUCCAAGGCCAACGGGAGAAGGGUUGUUAAGGAACUCGGCAAGUUGACCCCGUAACUUCGGGAGAAGGGGUGCUCAUGAAAGUGAGCCGCAGAGAAUAGGCCCAAGCGACUGUUUAGCAAAAACACAGCUCUAUGCUAAAUCGAAAGAUGACGUAUAUGGGGUGACACCUGCCCGGUGCUGGAAGGUUAAGAGGAGGGGUGAGAGCUCUGAAUUGAAGCCCCAGUAAACGGCGGCCGUAACUAUAACGGUCCUAAGGUAGCGAAAUUCCUUGUCAGGUAAGUUCUGACCCGCACGAAUGGCGUAAUGAUCUGGGAGCUGUCUCAACUGCCCGCCCGGCGAAAUUGUAGUACCGGUGAAGAUGCCGGUUACCCGCGACUAGACGGAAAGACCCCAUGGAGCUUCACUGUAGCUUAAUAUUGAAUUUCGGUAUUUCAUGUACAGGAUAGGUGGGAGACUGGGAACCACAGGCGUCAGCUUGUGGGGAGUCAACCUUGGGAUACCACUCUUGAAGUGCUGGAAUUCUAACCUGCGGCCCUGAAUCGGGUCGGGGGACAUUGUUAGGUGGGCAGUUUGACUGGGGCGGUCGCCUCCUAAAGUGUAACGGAGGCGCUCAAAGGUUCGCUCAGCAUGGACGGAAACCAUGCUCUUGAGUGUAAACGCAAAAGCGAGCCUAACUGCGAGACUGACGGGUCGAGCAGUAACGAAAGUUGGAGUUAGUGAUCCGGCGGUAUGUGAAUGGAAAUGCC